rnacentral:rRNA from 1 species
AUUGAACGCUGGCGGCAUGCCUUACACAUGCAAGUCGAACGGCAGCAUGAUCUAGCUUGCUCGAUUGAUGGCGAGUGGCGAACGGGUGAGUAAUACAUCGGAACGUGCCCUGUAGUGGGGGAUAACUAGUCGAAAGAUUAGCUAAUACCGCAUACGACCUGAGGGUGAAAGUGGGGGACCGCAAGGCCUCAUGCUAUAGUAGCGGCCGAUGUCUGAUUAGCUAGUUGUUGAGGUAAAGGCUCACCAAGGCGACGAUCAGUAGCUGGUCUGAGAGGACGAUCAGCGACACUGGGACUGAGACACGGGCCAGACUCCUACGGGAGGCAGCAGUGGGGAAUUUUGGACAAGGGGCGAAAGCCUGAUCCAGCAAUGCCGAGUGUGUGAAGAAGGCCUUCGGGUUGUAAAGCACUUUUGUCCGGAAAGAAAUGGAUCUGGUUAAUACCUGGGGUCGAUGACGGGACCGGAAGAAUAAGGACCGGCUAACUACGUG